AGAUUUGACCUCCUACCAGAGGUCUGAAGCUUUUAGCAUUUGGAUGCCCUUGUUGACCACCAAAUCAAUGAAGUUCGGAUCAUCAUAGAAUUGUAGGUCUUUAUGGUUCCAAUUGUAAAAAUUUUCUUCUUUUCUGCAUGAUGCUGCUAUAAUUUGGAUGUUUCUUUGAAUUCACUUUAAAGCAGCAAGUGUCAUUCCUAUUAUUACUUGAGCAGCCUUGUCCUAGUUGAACGGAAUGUUUAUCACUGAAUUGAGAUUUAACGGGCGGUGGUGCAUGAAUGGGCCGAGUCAAGAGUUCGU
rnacentral:misc_RNA from 1 species